CUAGUAAUUCUUCUAUUAAAAUUUUCUUGAAUGCUUGUCGUUACACUGGACAUAGAAGUUUUAAAUUAGAAUUUCCUGUAACAAUAAUUAAUUAAAUAAAGGAAAAAACUUCAAAUAUCAUUUCUAUAAUUUCACACUUUCUCACUUUAGCACCCCCUAUGAUUUAAAAUGUAUCAAUUUAGUAUCUUACGGUUUCAUUUUUAUCUUUUUAUUAUUGAUUUCACUAAUUUUUUUCUUUAAAUCAAUGACAAAAUUAAAAUUAAAGAGUACUAAAGUGAAUAUUCGAUAAACAUAGGUGGAAUAUCUGAAGUUUUUUUGUAUAUAAUUUAACGAAAUAUUAACGGAGAAACUGACGAAAAGAUAAAAAUGAAAGCACAGGACACUAACUUGAUCACUUUAAACCUUAUGCACCCGUUUGGUUCGGAGUUAAAGGGUGGAAAUAACCCUUAACCCCGAAGUUAUUCCCAAACAUUCAUUUGGAGGGUGGGGUUAGCCCACCCCACCCCACUACUCCAACCAAACAAAAUACUAUUUUACCCACUAUCUUUCUUAUUUCAUCUACUCCAACGAAACACUAUAAAUCGUGUCGGAAAUUUAUUUUUAAAUAAGUGAAGAGAUGUAAGAUAUACGUCACCAUAAAAA
rnacentral:lncRNA from 1 species